GAUCAGAAGGAAUCCUCGUCUCUGCUCGCCGAUUGGAACUCUUACGCGGCCUUGAAAGCUUCGGAAGAGACUAAAUCCUCCAGCUUAGGGUUUGAACUCGAAGCCGCUGUAAGAACUGUUAAGAAUACUAUCACUGGAACUUUUAACGUG